AUGAGGGUGUCAAGCAUGGCGUCCAAGGGUCUCGUUGUGUUUGCUGUCCUGCUUGCUGCGGCUUUCCUCGUGGCCACAGCUGAACAAACUCAGGCCAAGAAGGAAGAAACUAAGGCCGGUGUUCAGGGUUACCACGGCGGCGGCAGCGGAGGCGGUGGCUACCAUGGCGGCGGCGGCGGCGGGGGGUACCCUGGCCACGGAGGCGGCGGCGGCGGCGGGGGGUACCCUGGCCACGGGGGCGGCGGCGGCGGCGGCGGGUACCCUGGCCACGGUGGCGGCGGAGGCGGCGGCGGCUACCCUGGCCACGGUGGCGGCGGCGCCUACCCUGGCCACGGUGGCGGCGGCGGCGGCGGCGGCUGCAGGUACCAGUGCUGUGGGCACGGGCAUGGUGGCUGCCGCUGCUGCGCAAGCCCCAACGAGAUCCCGGAGCCCAUGUAUCGGGCGGAGGUCCGCAACUAA
rnacentral:rRNA from 1 species